AUGGUGAGCGCUAGGGAUGUCGACACAACGGCGGCGGCGAACAAGCAGCAGCAGGCUAAUUGCCUGGCCCCCAACCCCGGCAAGGCCACGAUCCUCGCCCUGGGCCACGCUUUCCCGCAGCAGCUCGUCAUGCAGGACUACGUCGUCGAGGGCUUCAUGAGGAACACCAACUGCAACGACCCCGAGCUCAAGGAGAAGCUCGCCAGGCUAUGCAAGACGACGACGGUGAAGACGAGGUACGUGGUGAUGUCGGACGAGAUCCUCAAGAGCUACCCGGAGCUGGCCCAGGAGGGCUUGCCGACGAUGAAGCAGCGCCUGGACAUCUCCAACAAGGCGGUGACGCAGAUGGCCACCGAGGCGUCGCUGGCCUGCAUCAAGGCGUGGGGCGGCGACCUCUCGGCGAUCACCCACCUCGUCUACGUCUCGUCCAGCGAGGCGCGGUUCCCGGGCGGGGACCUGCACCUGGCGCGCGCCCUGGGGCUCAGCCCGGACGUCCGCCGCGUCAUGCUGGCCUUCACCGGGUGCUCCGGCGGGGUGGCUGGCCUCCGCGUCGCCAAGGGCCUGGCCGAGAGCUGCCCGGGCGCGCGUGUCCUGCUCGCCACCUCCGAGACCACCGUGGCCGGGUUCCGCCCGCCCAGCCCCGACCGGCCCUACGACCUUGUCGGGGUGGCGCUCUUCGGCGACGGCGCGGGCGCGGCCGUCGUCGGCACAGACCCCACCGCCCAGGAGCGACCGCUGUUCGAGCUCUACUCGGCGCUGCAGCGCUUCCUCCCUGACACCGAGAAGACCAUCGACGGCCGGCUGACGGAGGAGGGCAUCAAGUUCCAGCUGGGCCGCGAGCUCCCCCACAUCAUCGAGGCGCACGUGGAGUCCUUCUGCCAGAAGCUCAUCAAGGAGCACCCGUCUGCUGCUGCUGCGGAGGGUGACAACAUGUUGACCUAUGACAAGAUGUUCUGGGCGGUGCACCCCGGCGGCCCGGCGAUCCUGACCAAGAUGGAAGGGCGGCUGGGGCUGGACGGCGGGAAGCUGCGCGCGAGCCGGAGCGCGCUCCGGGACUUUGGGAACGCGAGCAGCAACACCAUCGUGUACGUGCUGGAGAACAUGGUGGAGGAGAGCAGGCAGAGGACGGAGGCGCCGGAGCCGGAGCCGGAGGGGGGUCAGGAGCAGUGCGAGUGGGGACUCAUACUGGCGUUCGGGCCGGGGAUCACCUUGGAGGGGAUCCUGGCAAGGAACCUCCAGGCGCGCCUAGGCGCCAACUAG
rnacentral:rRNA from 1 species